CGCGCAGGCGGUGAUGUAAGUCUGAGGUGUAAACCCGAAGCUCAACUUCGGGACUGCCUUGGAUACUGCGUCACUUGAGGAUAGGAGAGGCAAGGGGAAUUCCACGUGUAGCGGUGAAAUGCGUAGAGAUGUGGAGGAACACCUGUGGCGAAGGCGCCUUGCUGGCCUAUUUCUGACGCUGAGGCGCGAAGGCGUGGGGAGCAAACA
rnacentral:rRNA from 1 species